GAUGAACGCUGACAGAAUGCUUAACACAUGCAAGUCUUUGGCGAAGCUGUGCUUGCACAGCCUAGCCAAGGCGGACGGGUGAGUAACGCGUAAGGAACUUGCCCUGCAGUCAGGGAUAACAGACGGAAACGACUGAUAAAACCUGAUAAAGUCAGACGGACUCAUGUCCAGUCUGAUGAAAAGAAAUGCUGCAGGAGAGCCUUGCGUCUUAUUAGCUUGUUGGUGGGGUAACGGCCCACCAAGGCAAUGAUAGGUAGCCGGCCUGAGAGGGUGGACGGCCACAAGGGGACUGAGAUACGGCCCUUACUCCUACGGGAGGCAGCAGUGGGGAAUAUUGGACAAUGGGGGCAACCCUGAUCCAGCAAUUCUGUGUGCACGAAGAAGGUUUUCGGAUUGUAAAGUGCUUUCAGCAGGGAAGAAAAAAAUGACGGUACCUGCAGAAGAAGCGACGGCUAAAUACGUGCCAGCAGCCGCGGUAAUACGUAUGUCGCAAGCGUUAUCCGGAAUUAUUGGGCAUAAAGGGCAUCUAGGCGGCCAGAUAAGUCUGGGGUGAAAACUUGCGGCUCAACCGCAAGCCUGCCCUGGAAACUAUGUGGCUAGAGUACUGGAGAGGUGGACGGAACUGCACGAGUAGAGGUGAAAUUCGUAGAUAUGUGCAGGAAUGCCGAUGAUGAAGAUAGUUCACUGGACGGUAACUGACGCUGAAGUGCGAAAGCUAGGGGAGCAAACAGG
rnacentral:rRNA from 1 species